AUUGAACGCUGGCGGCAGGCCUAACACAUGCAAGUCGAACGAGUGGCGGACGGGUGAGUAAUGUAUGGGAAACUGCCUGAUGGCGGGGGAUAACUACUGGAAACGGUAGCUAAUACCGCAUACCAUCAGAUGAACCCAUAUGGGAUUAGCUUGUAGGUGGGGUAACGGCUCACCUAGGCGACGAUCCCUAGCUGGUCUGAGAGGAUGAUCAGCCACCCUGGAACUGAGACACGGCCCAGACUCCUACGGGAGGCAGCAGGGGGGAAUAUUGCACAAUGGGCGCAAGCCUGAUGCAGCCAUGCCGCGUGUAUGAAGAAGGCCUUCGGGUUGUAAAGUACUUUCAGCGGGGAGGCGUUACCCGCAGAAGAAGCACCGGCUAACUCCGUGCCAGCAGCCGCGGUAAUAC
rnacentral:rRNA from 1 species